GACGUAGGGCGCGAGCGUUGUCCGGAUUUAUUGGGCGUAAAGAGCUCGUAGGCGGCUUGUCGCGUCGACUGUGAAAACCCGCGGCUCAACUGUGGGCUUGCAGUCGAUACGGGCAGGCCGGAGUUCGGUAGGGGAGACUGGAAUUCCUGGUGUAGCGGUGAAAUGCGCAGAUAUCAGGAGGAACACCGGUGGCGAAGGCGGGUCUCUGGGCCGAUACUGACGCUGAGGAGCGAAAGCGUGGGGAGCGAACAGG
rnacentral:rRNA from 1 species